UUUCAUUUGCAGAUCCAAAAAUAGCUCCUGGGGGAGUGUGCAUGUGAGAUCUGCUGGGAGCCUCAAGAGGAGAAACAAAACCUCCUGCUACACUUCAGUUCUCUUUACCAAAAUCAGUCCAGGUUCUCAUGAUGCCUUUGGACACCCAUGGCCUGAAUUGGGUCCAACCUAAUGAAUUAUUGGCUCUAGUAUAAACCUCAACCCCUCUCCAUCAAAAUCUUAAAGAUCUCAUAUCUAAGUGGAAUUUGACUUUCCCAGUUUCUCUGAGAGACUGUGAGCACAUUGGGGUUCAAACCAUACUUGGACAAAGAGGACAUUGUAUCUUCUGACACAGAAAGCUGCAAGAUGCUGUCUUCAAGGAAAUGCAGAUUACACACAGGAAUUUGCCUUAACCAGUGCAUAAGGAGAAAGAAAGUGACCCAGGAUCAAGGCUUCAUAGAGAGAAAACACACAAAGCUCGAAAGAGUCCUCCUUUAAAAUAGAACAGUACUGAGGAUGUAGCUCAACGGCAGACACUUACCAGCAUAAAAGAGGUCCUGGGACUGACCCUACCGCCUGCUGUACAUGAGUAAAUAAAUAAUCCAAGCAGAACAAGAACCACAGGUCCAAAUGUGAAUGUCUAUUUACUUGAGAAGAAAAUAGCACCACAAGCUUCAAAUCAGAACAACCAGGGGACAAACACCAGACUGCAGGGGUUGGUUGUUGUUGUUGUCGUUGUUGUUGUUGUUGUUCUUGUUGUUGAUUUGUUUGACUGAUCCUUUGUGGAACCUUAAAAGGACUCUAUAUAUAUCAACAUUGCUGGGUGCACAUUUUACUAGGACUCCUGGAAAGGUCACUGCUGAGUUCUCAGGAGCUUUCCUGAAAAUUAAAUGUGAUAACGAACAGGGAGCUCUCUUCUGCCUUUUAAGUUGUUUCUAGAUUUAAUUGGCUGUAGUCACAUGAUC